ensembl:snRNA U6 U6 spliceosomal RNA
GUGCUCACAUCGACAGCACAUAUACUAAAAUUGCAAUGAUACAGAAAAGAUUAGCAUGGCUCAUACACAAGGAUGACAGGCAAAUCAUGAAACAUUCCAUAUGUUU